rnacentral:rRNA from 1 species
AGUGAACGCUGGCGGUAGGCCUAACAUAUGCAAGUCGAACGGCAGCACAGUAAGAGCUUGCUCUUACGGGUGGCGAGUGGCGGACGGGUGAGGAAUACAUCGGAAUCUACUUUUUCGUGGGGGAUAACGUAGGGAAACUUACGCUAAUACCGCAUACGACCUACGGGUGAAAGCAGGGGAUCUUCGGACCUUGCGCGAUUGAAUGAGCCGAUGUCGGAUUAGCUAGUUGGCGGGGUAAAGGCCCACCAAGGCGACGAUCCGUAGCUGGUCUGAGAGGAUGAUCAGCAAAACUGGAACUGAGAAACGGUCAAGACUCCUACGGGAGGCAGCAGUGGGGAAUAUUGGACAAUGGGGGAAAGCCUGCUCAAGACAUACCGCGUGGGUGAAGAAGGCCUUCGGGUUGUAAAGCCCUUUUGUUGGGAAAGAAAAGCAGCAGGUUAAUAACCCGCUGUUCUGACGGUACCCAAAGAAUAAGCACCGGCUAACUUCGUG